CCUACGGGUGGCAGCAGUGGGGAAUAUUGCACAAUGGGGGCAACCCUGAUGCAGCAACGCCGCGUGAGUGAAGAAGUCCUUCUGUAUGUAAAGCUCUAUCAGCAGGGAAGAAGAAUGCCGUUACCUGACUACGUUGCCUCGGCUAACUACGUGCCAGCAGCCGCGGUCAUACGUAGGGGGCACGCGUGAGCCGGAUUUCCUGGGUGUAACGGGAGCGUAGACGGGUGUGCAAGUCUGAAGUGAAAGCCCGUGGCUCAACCGCGGAACUGCUUUGGAAACUGUAUAGCUUGAGUACUGGAGAGGCAGGCGGAAUUCCUGGUGUAGCGGUGAAAUGCGUAGAUAUUAGGAGGAACACCGGUGGCGAAGGCGGCCUGCUGGACAGAAACUGACGUUGAGGCUCGAAAGCGUGGGGAGCAUACAGGAUUAGAUACCCGAGUAGUC
rnacentral:rRNA from 1 species